AUGGCGUUAGAAGUCUUGAUGCUCCUCGCUGUCUUGAUUUGGACCGGUGCUGAGAACCUCCAUGUGAAAAUAAGUUGCUCUCUGGACUGGUUGAUGGUCUCAGUUAUCCCAGUUGCAGAAAGCAGAAAUCUGUAUAUAUUUGCGGAUGAAUUACAUCUGGGAAUGGGCUGCCCUGCAAAUCGGAUACAUACAUAUGUAUAUGAGUUUAUAUAUCUUGUUCGUGAUUGUGGCAUCAGGACAAGGGUAAGAACAGUGAUUGUUUGUAAAAAAUACUGCAUGUUUUGUCAGACUUUUAUGCCUAGUAUUAAAAUUGUCUUUUAAAAAAAUAA
rnacentral:lncRNA from 1 species